UAAUUUUUUGUAUUUUUAGUAGAGACGGGGUUUCACCGUGUUAGCCAGGAUGGUCUCGAUCUCCUGAUCUUGUGAUCCGCCCGCCUCGGCCUCCCAGCGGUGGGAUUACAGGCGUGAGCCACCACGCCUGGCCAAUAAUUUUUGUUAACAAAUUUCACAUUACACUCUUUGUUUUACUGAAACUGCAUCUUCUCUUUCUGAACAGAGCACCAUGGCCUGGCAAGGUCCGACGUUUUCCAAGGAUCCUGGCUGAGCUCCUGUGGAAGCUGCUUCUUACACUGAUGUGGUCCCUCGGCUGGCAGGCCCUUCUGCGGCCAACCAGGUGACACCUGCCAGUUAUGAGGGACAGGUAGGAGAGGAUGGGCUUUCCAUCAAAAAAAGAAAAAAAAAAGAGAUUCUACACUCAGCAGAGGAAUUCACAGCAAGAGUUGAUGUAGAAGUUGACAACCAAGGCCAGGCGCGGUGGCUCACGCCUGUAAUCCCAGCACUUUGGGAAGCCGAGGUGGGUGGAUCACGAGGUCAGGAGAUGGAGACCAUCCUGGCUAACAUGGUGAAACCCCGUCUCUACUGAAAAUACAAAAAUUAGCCGGGCGUGGUGGCGGCGCCUGUAGUCCCAGCUACUCAGGAGGCUGAGGCAGGAGAAUGGCGUGAACCUGGGAGGCAGAGCUUGCAGUGAGCCGAGAUCGCGCCACUGCACUCCAGCCUGGGCAAGAGAGCGAGACUCUGUCUCAAACAAACAAACAAAAGAAGUUGAGAACCAAAACCCUCCACCAGUUCUUAGAAGCGAUCUCCAAGCAAGAGCAGGAAGAGCAGGGAUCCACACUCUGGAGGACUUACAGGUGCCCUCAGUCCUCCCCUCUGCCAUCAUUGUCUUGCAUUCAGGAUGAUUCCUCUUUAAAGGUGACAGUUUGUUUAAAUGUCUGUGUUGCCCCAUCUUCUAGAUGAUGCAGUUUUGUCCAUCACAGAUUCAUCCACAAAGGAGCAUUUACCUUUGAGAAACGCUGGGGACAUUGAAGUUUACUUAGAUAUCAAUGCAUGAGUUUCUGUCGGAGCACCAUAAAGUCAUGUUUCCUGAGACUGUGAGAGGUCUCUGUCAUCUGAGGGCCCCGCUGCUGCCUGCCUGCCAGCGUGCCCGAGGAUGAGAUGAUGGAAUUGAUCAGAGUUUUUAAAAUCUAGGUGUUCCACUUGUGUGAAAUAUAUGCUAUGGUGCUCCAAGUUGAGUCCACUGUCUUGAACAUGAACAUCAAGUUGUAGACUGCUUCCUGAAAUAUGCAUGUCAUCCUGAGACCUGAGGGUGAACAGCAGGGGGCUAGUGAGUGCAAACUGAGGGUGGGGUGGGUGAGAGAUAAGGUUUGUUAUGGAAGAAGAAGAAGGAAAAAAAUACGUUUUCUGAGAAAACAGGACAAGUUGAGACUGUGAUGGACCAGAAGGAUGCGACAAAUAACCUGUCCUGGUAAAUGAGAAAGGCACCUAAGGCAGGAGUCACCGAGGGACAGCUCCGUUUCUGUAAGUAACCAUUUAGUUACGGUUAAGUCAGUAUUUAAGUUCCACAACCAGGAAGUCACUUUUCAGUGGUUCCAGAGAAUCUAUGCCCUGAAACUGGAGAAGAACAUGAGGUGAUAGUUUCAUUGUCUCCAAAGGGUCCCCAAGCCUGCAACAGAACAAUGUUUAUAACAAAUUUCUCACUCUUGUCACCCAGGCUGGAGUGCAGAGGCGGGGCAAGAGUGAGCCUCCAUCUCAAAAAAAAAAAACAAAAAAAAAAAAAAACAAAAAAGAAAAGAAAAAUAAUUUGUUGACCUCCUGGGUUACACCCAAUAAAGAAUAGUAGAGUUUGCCGGGCGCGGUGGCUCACGCCUGUAACCCCAGCACUCUGGGAGGCCGAGGCGGGCGGAUCACGAGGUCAGGAGAUCCAGACCAUCCUGGCUAACACGGUGAAACCCCGUCUCUACUAAAAAUACAAAAAAUUAGCCGGGCAUGGUGGCGGGCGCCUGUAGUCGCAGCUACUCGGGAGGCUGAGGCAGGAGAAUGGCGUGAACCCGGGAGGCGGAGCUUGCAGUGAGCUGAGAUCGCGCCACUGCACUCCAGCCUGAGCGACAGAGCGAGACUCCGUCUCAAAAACAAAAAAACAAAAAACAACAACAAAAAAACCAAAAAACCCAUAAUAGUAGUGAUAAGGCCGGUGCGGUGGCUCAUGCCUGUAAUCCCAGCACUUUGGGAGGCCAAGGCGGGCGGAUCAGGAGGUCAGGAGUUUGAGACCAGCCUGGCCAACACGGUGAAACCCCGUCUCUACUAAAAGUACAAAAAUUAGCCGGGCGUGGUGGCGGGCGCCUGUAAUCUUCUCAGACACCCAACCACCGGCUCCUCAGCCGGGGCAACUCCCUGUAAGAUGACGGCACCUUUUCACGGCCCCCCACCCUGCCCCAAAUCCCCGAUCCAAACCCCAACCCGCGAUCCCAAAUCUGCGAUCUAGCCCAGAAUCCGCGAUCCAGCCGGGUCCACCACAGCCUUCAGCAGCGAUACUCGCAGCCUCCGACCUCUCAGACCCAGUGAGCCUCGCAAGGCCAUUAGCAGCGCGCCUGCACCGCGGGGGCCGCCCGGCUCCCAGAAGCCGCUCCCAGGCGGCGCGCCGGCAGGUGGGGCUGCAGCCCGGGGCAGGCGCCGCUGGGCUCGCGGGUUCUCCUGCGCUGGUCCGGGCUGCCCCGGGACCACAGGCGCAGGAUCGCAGGCGCGCAGCCCGCCCGGCCUCAGGAGCAGGGCCUGUCUGGCCGUGCGGCCCCACUUAAUCUUAAUAGCAAAUAAAACUCAGCAGGAUGCUGUGGUAUAUUCUAUCAUGAUUCUACACAAUUGUAGAUUGCAUUAGAAUAAUGUUUUUAAAAAUUAUUUUCUUGGUAACAAAUGGACACUUGAAAUUUUAUUUUAAUUUUAAUUUUUUUUUAAACAGAGUUUCACUCUUGUUGCCCAGGCUGGAGUGCAAUGGCGCGAUCUCGGCUCACUGCAACCUCUGCCUCCCAGGUACAAGUGAUUCUCCUGUCUCAGCCUCCCGAGUAGCUCGGAUUACAGGCAUGGGCCACCACACCCGGCUUUUUUUUUUUUUGUAUUUAGUAGAGACGGGGUUUCAUCAUGUUAGACUGGUCGCAAACUCCUGACCUCAGGUGAUCCACCUGCCUUGGCCUCCCAAAAUGCUGGGAUUACAGGAGUAAGCCACUGCGCCUGGGCAAAAUUUUAUUUUUUAAUAAUGCCAAGUGAUUUCAUUUUAAAUUAAACCGCAGCAUAAAUUGGAUUAUUUUCCUGCAUGAGUACUUUGCUCUUCAAACAAAAACAUUUUUUAAAGACCAAAUAUAUUGCAUACUUUUUUUUAAAAAAGCUCUGGCUGUGUGCAUUGGCUUACGCCUGUAAUCCCAACACUUUGGGGAGGCUGAGGGAGGAGGACUGUUUGAACCAGGAGUUCGAGACCGGCCUGGGCAACACAGUGAGACACUGGCUCUACAAUAAUCUUUCUUUAAAAGUUAGCCAGGUAUGGUGGUGCACAGCCAUGGUCCCAGACACUUGGGAGGUUGAGGUGGGAGGAUAGCUUGAGCCUGGGAGGUUGAGGCUGCAGUGAGCUAUGAUUGCACUCCAGCCUGGGUGACAGAGCAAGAACCUGUCUCAAAAACAUGUUCUUUUUUUUUUUUAAUUAAUUAAUUUAUUUUUUAUUAUUAUUAUACUUUAAGUUUUAGGGUACAUGUGCACAAUGUGCCGGUUAGUUACAUAUGUAUACAUGUGCCAUGCUGGUGUGCUGCACCCAUUAACUCAUCAUUUAGCAUUAGGUAUAUCUCCUAAUGCUAUCCUUCCCCUCUCCCCCCAAAACACCCCCCAAAACAUGUUCUUACUGUAUAAGAAAUUAUGAAUGACAUUUAUUUUAUGUUAAAACAGUAUAUUUUAUCUACAAAAGGAGUAAAAGACAGUAAUAGAAAAAUUGGCACAUAAAGGAACAAAAAUGCUAAAAAAUUAAAAUUUACCAAUAAUCCUAUCACCUAAAUUGAUAAUUUUUAAUAUAAUUAAAUGUAGGAUUUUAAAAUAAAUUUCUUUUAAUUUAUUUAUUUAAACAUAUAGAUUAUUUUUAGACCCUCUUCAGGCAUCCCCUGUUGAAUAAGUUCCAUGAUUUACAGGCCUACUCUAUUAUUAAAUAUUUUAUUGCUUUCAAUGAACAACAUUUUUUGUAAACAUUUUCACAGAAACAAAUAUGGGCACAUUGAGACAUGUUUUCUUUUCAAAAAGUCCUAGCACUUUAAUUACUGUGUAAAGAGAUAUUAGUGUAUAAUUUUCACACAUAUUGACUAACGUCCCUGCAAAAUGUUGAAUCAAUUUAUACUUGCAGCACCAAUCGGCAAAUUAAUGUCCACUAUGCUUUCGCUUCACCAAAACUGAUACUUAUAUUUUAUUUUGCUAGACAAAAAUACAUAUUAUCUUAAUUUGCAUAACUGUAAUUAAUAGAAAGAUUAAAUUUUUUUCAGAUGUAUCAUAGGACAUCAUUUUUUCUUGAGUCUGGUGGGUGCUUAGUUCCUUUAAAGCAUUAAUCUUGUAUACAUUAAUUUUAUGUGCAAAACAAUCAUUAAGUACAAUUUGAAAUAUGGAAAAAUAAAUAGCUGGAUUAAGAAAAAAACAAAUAGAGCUUCUGGAAUUAAAACAUUCACUAAUGGAAUUUCAAAACACAGUUGGACUCUUUAACAAUAAACUAGACCAAGCAGAAGAAAUAAUUUUAGACUUUGAAACUGGUCUUUCAAAGUAACCCAGUCAGACAAAAAUAAAAGAAAAAAGAACUGAAAAACAAAGCCCUUAAGAAAUAUGGGAUUAUGUAAAGUGACCAAACUUAUAACUUAUUGGCAUUCCUACAACAGAAGAAUAAAAAGUAACCAACUAAGAAAGUAUAUUUAAGGGAAUAAUUUAGGAAAAGUUCUCUAGUCUUGCUAGAAAGGUUGACAUUCAGAUAUAAGAAAUUCAGAGAACACCUGUGGGAUAGUAAACAAGAUGCCCAUUCCUAAGACAUCCACAGUCAUUAGAAUAGCCGUGGUCAAUGCAAAAGAAAAUAUAUUAAAGGCAGCUCAAACAAAGGGCCAAAUUACCUAUAAAGUAAAUUAGAUUAACAACAGACUUAGCAGCAGAAACCCUGCAACCUAGAAAAGAUUGGGGCCUAGCGUUAGCCUUCUCAAAGAAAAAAAAAAUGCCAUCCAAUAAUUUCUUUUUUUUUGGAGACAGAGUCUCACUUUGCCACCCAGGCUGGAGUGCCGUGGUGUGAUCUCAGCUCACUGCAACCUCUGCUUCCUGGGUUCAAGCAAUUCUCCUGCCUCAGCCUCCCCAGUAGCUGGGAUUACAGGUGCCCGCCACCACACCUGGCAAAUUUUGGUAUUUUUAAUAGAGAUGGAGUUUCUUCAUGUUGGCCAGGCUGGUCUUGAACUCCUGACCUCAGGUGAUCUGCCUGCCUCGGCCUCCCAAAGUGCUAGGAUUACAGGUGUGAGCCACUGCGCCCAGCCAUGCAAGAAUUUCAUAACCUGCCAGACUGAGCUUCAUAAAGAAAGGAAAAUAAGGUAUUUCCAGAUAAGAAAAUGCUAAGGGAAGUCAUUACCUCCAGACUGACUCUAAAAUAAAUGUUUAAAGGAGUUUGACUCGUGAAAAUAAAAGAAUGAUACUUGCUAUGAUAAAAGCAUACAUGAAUACAAAAUGUACAGAACCUAUAAAGCAAUUAAACAAUUGAGACUACAAGAUAACUAGCUAAUGCUAUAAAAGGAAGAAAACCUAACACAUCAAUAUUAAGCUUGAAUGUAAAUGGCUGAAAUGCUCCACUUAAAAGACACAGAGUGGCAAACUGGAUAAAAAAACAAGACACUUCUGCUGCCUUUGAGAGACCCAUCUCAUGUGUAAUGAUCCCAACAGGCUCAAAGUAAAUGGAUGGAAAAAGAUUCAUCACAUAAAUGAAAAACAAAAAAGGAGAGGUAUUGCUAUUCUUGUAUCAGAUAAAACAGACAUUAAACCAACAACAGUAAAAAAAAUACAAAGAAGGGCAUUAUAUAAAGUGUUCAAUUCAACAAGAAGACUUAACUGUCUUAAAUAUAUAUGCAGCCAACAUUGGAGCACCCAGAUUUUUAGAAUAAAUAUUACUAGACCUAAGAAAAGAGAUACACAGCUGUACAAUAAUUGUGGAGAACUUCAACACCCCACCGACAGCAGUAAGCAGAUUAUUAGUUAGGCAGAUUAUUAGGCAGAAAACUAACAUUGAAACUGUGGACUCAAAUUGGGCUCUUGACCAAACAGACCUAAUAGAUAUCUACAGAAUACUCCACCCAGAAACCAUAGAAUGUACAUUUUUCUCAUUUGCACAUGGAACAUUCUCUAAAAUUGACCACAUGCUCAGUCAUAAAAUAAGCCUCAAUAAAUUUUUAAAAAUCGCAACUAUAUUAAGUAUAUUCUCAGACCACUGUGGAAUAAAAUUAGAAGUCAAUAUCGAGAACUCUCAGAACCACAGAGGAACAUGGAAACUAAACAAUCUGCUCGUGAAUGACUUUUGUGUAAAUAACAGAAUUAAGGCAGAAAUUUAAAGAAAUUCCUGAAACAAAUGAAAAUAGAAACAUAACAUACCAAAACGUCUGGGAUACAGAAAAAACAAUGUUAAAAGGAGAGUUUAUAACACUAAAUGCCUACAUAAAAAGAAAGAAAGAUCUCAAAUUAACAAGCUAAAAUAGACAAACACACUAGAAAAGAACAAACCAAACUCAAAGCUAGUAGAAGGAAAUAACAAAGGUUAGAGAAUAAGUUAAUGAAAUCGGGACCAAAAAAACCAUCCAAGGAAUCAGCAAAAUUAAAAAGUUGGUUCUUUGCAAGGACACAUAAAAAUGAUAGAUUGCUAGUUAGCUUAUGCAAGAAAAAAAGAAGAUUCAAAUAAGCACAAUCAAAAAUGACAAAUGAGACAUUGCAAAGGAUACCACCGACAUAAAAAAAGAUCCUCAGAGACUGCUAUGAAUAUCUUUGUGUGCAUAAACUAGAAAACCUAGAGAAAAUGGAUAAAUUCCUGGAAACACACAACCUUCCAAGACUGAAUCAGAAAGAAACCAAAAGUCCACCAGGGCAGUGCCAAUAGGAAAUGUGGGAUUGAAGCCUCCACACAGAGUCCCCACUGGGGCACUGCCUACUCGAGCUGUGGGAAUGGGGCCGCCACCUCGAGAUCCCUGAAUGGUAGAGCCAUGGGAAGCUUUCAUCCUGAGCCUAGAAAUACCACAGGCACUCAACUCUGACCCAAGACAGCAGCCAUGGUGACUGUACACUGCAAAGCCACAGAGGCAGAGCUGCAUAAGGUCUUGGGAACCCACCCCUUGCACAAGUGUGCCCUGGAUGCAGGACAUGAAAUCAAGAAUUAUUUUGGAGCUUGAAGGUUUAAUGUAUGCCUUACUGGGUUUCAGAUUUGCCUGAGGCCUGUUGCCCCUUUCUUUUGCCCAACUUCUCCAUUUGGGAAUGGGAGUAUUUACCCAACACCUCUACUGCAUUGAAUAUUGGAAGCAAAUAACUCUCUGCUGCCGGCCUUCAGUGCUGAUGGCCUGUGCCACCCAAUGACUGGUUAAAUCAGCUUGAGGAAGAGCUCUUUUGAGACUCUGUCCUGUUUAGCAGGGGAAACUUCAAAGUCCCAGCAUCCUGGUCAUGGAAUGCUAUGUUAACCCUUUCCAAAGUUUGAGACUGAGAUGCGCAGACCAUUUUAAAGACACACUGCAUCCAGCCUCCCAUGACAGAGCCUCAUGGGAAGGGUGGUGAGCAGGGUCGUGGGGAUAUUCUAUCCUGAGCCUUCCAUGUUGGGGCUUCUCGGAGACAGGGGAGGACCACAGCCUCAGUGACUGGCCAUUGGCCAAAUACACUCAUUAAAAUGCCCUUCUCCAGG